AGAGUGGUCGGUAACCAAUCACAUGCGGAGGGCGGUGGGUCACACGGCACGAUGGGGAUUUGAAGGCUAGAAGGGCCCUGUUUCCAGCCCCGCCCCUCUGCCAGGCCGUUGGCUCUGCUGCUUCGCCCGUUAUCCAGUCCCAACCGCCGGGACAUCUCCAUUUUUCAUGCCGGACAAUGACUAUAGUGGGACCACAAAGUGGCACGUGAGCUCUUAGGAGAAGGGAGCAGGUCAACCCGCUUGUUUGUACAGCACCGAACACAACGGGGCCCUCAUCUGGAACAAGGCCUUCAG